rnacentral:rRNA from 1 species
UACGUAGGCAGCGAGCGUUGUUCGGAAUUACUGGGCGUAAAGAGUGUGUAGGCGGUGCUCCCAGUCUGUUGUGAAAUCUCCCGGCUUAACUGGGAGGGUGCAGCGGAAACUAGAGUGCUAGAGGGUGCGAGAGGGACGUGGAAUUCCGGGUGUAGUGGUGAAAUGCGUAGAGAUCCGGAGGAACCCCAGAGGCGAAGGCGGCGCUCUGGCUCGCAACUGACGCUCAGACACGACAGCAUGGGGAGCGAACGGG